GGCCGGUUGGCGCAAUGGUAGCGCGUGCCCCUCCUACGAGGACCAAAGGGCAAGGUUGUGGGUUCGAGUCCCAUGCUGGUCG